ACGCUCGACACCUACGGAAGGCAGCAGUGGGGAAUAUUGCACAAUGGGGGAAACCCUGAUGCAGCAACGCCGCGUGAAGGAAGACGGUUUUCGGAUUGUAAACUUCUGUUCUUAGUGAAGAUAGUGACGGUAGCUAAGGAGCAAGCCACGGCUAACUACGUGCCAGCAGCCGCGGUAAUCUGAGCGGGCUGGCAAGGC
rnacentral:rRNA from 1 species